AACGAACGCUGGCGGCAGGCCUAACACAUGCAAGUCGAACGAGUAAGAGCCGUAGCAAUACGGAGUUCUGCUAGUGGCGCACGGGUGAGUAACGCGUGGGAACGUGCCUUGGAGUUCGGGAUAACAGUUGGAAACGACUGCUAAUACCGAAUAUUCCCUCAGGGGAAAGAUUUAUCGCUCCAAGAUCGGCCCGCGUAAGAUUAGGUAGUUGGUGGGGUAAUGGCCUACCAAGCCUACGAUCUUUAGCUGGUCUGAGAGGACGACCAGCCACACUGGAACUGAGACACGGUCCAGACUCCUACGGGAGGCAGCAGUGGGGAAUAUUGGACAAUGGGCGAAAGCCUGAUCCAGCCAUGCCGCGUGAAUGAUGAAGG
rnacentral:rRNA from 1 species